UAUAAAUGACUUGAAUGGUAAGAUCAAAUGUUUGGUCUAUAUUUUAUUUCUCCAUUAUAUUUGUAUGCCCUCUCUACAAUCUCAAUAAAUUAAGACCAUGGUGUCUGUAGUGAAUUUUAUUUACCAUUCAUAUACCAUUGGAAAAAUGUAAUUGUGCAUGUUUAUAUUCCUUGCGUUGGUUCGGUGGCAGACCUAUAUACAAAUUGGACAGUGUGGUUGUGACUAUUUAUAUUCCUUAUGUUGGUUGAUGGUAUAUAUCUAUAUGUGAAACCAUAGUGAGUGAAGUUGUUAAAAAGGUUUGAGGUAAUCCUAAAACCAAUCUGGAAUGAAGUCAAGAAGGGCCUAAAGUUUUUCAGUGAUCCAUGUAGACUUAGUGAGAGAUAGAAUACAAUGAAAUAAAAAGAUCUAUUUAGGAGAUAUCUAUUACACCUUUUGUCCCAAAUCCCAAUUUAUGCGAUACUCUUUCCUUUUUAGUCGGUCACAAAAAGAAUGACACCUCUCUAUAUUUAGUAGCAAUUUGGUUUUAACAUGUUUAUUUAACCUUUAAAUGAAAUGAUAUAUAACCUAACAAUCUAUGAUUUGCUUUCAUCGUCAUUUUCAUGCUCUUGGAGCUGGUGCCAUUGAAGAUGUUUGUAUUCAGCGAGACAAAGGUUUUGAUUUUUGUAAGAUACAACAAUCAUGUUGAAGCAACUCGAGUUAUUUAGUUGGGAAAUGUCUAAAUCAUUUUUCAUAAACCUGUUAAGGAUUUGCAACGAUCUUUACCAGAAUUUCAGUGUUGAAGGUUAAAAUCUUGGAGCAAAAUGUCAAUUCUACUUGUGCCUUAUUGGUAGCCAGCUCCCUCAAGCUGCAAGUACUAUCUUGAGUUCAUUUUAUCUAGUUCUGAUCAUUUGGAUAAAACAAAAGUAAAAGUUAUCCUAAUCGAUUGAACGAAGAUGCAAAAUGUCAACAAUAACCUCAAAAGCUAGUGUUGUGCCUUGAAUUGCACUGGAGUAUCAUGAUUCUGCAGUCACCCGUCCCCACGACUUCAACCUCCAGCUUUUGUGGUUGAGUCAUCAUCUCAACUGCUUCUAGUAAUCAGCCAUUUCCGCUCACUGCACCAGCUACCCCAUAAAGCAGCUGAAGCAAAUUAUGACAAAGCGAGAUCAGAAGGUACUGCUCCUACACUUUGAUUGUCUUCUAAAUUUAAGAACACAACUUAUAUGAUCAAGGAACAUGUAUUCAUUUCUAAAUAUGUUGGUUAUUUUGUGCUUUUUUGUUCUCGACGUAUCACUUGUAUGAUUUGAACAUACUGAUUAUAUUGAGAACACGUAAUUGUUACCAUCAAUCAAAAUUAAAUUGUGUUAAUUUAUCAACACUAUUUUCCAAAUAGCAGAUAUCCGUCUUAACAUUAUUUCCUUUGAUUGCCAGUAAAGAAUUUACUACCUUUUUGCAAUAUGGUUGGCAUGUUGAUUGCGUACAUUUUUGUUGUUGAUGGAAUAAACUUUGCUGCCUCUUUUUGAAAACAGUCGGCUCAUAUUCGCUACAACUUCAGGUACGCCCUAAAGUGUUUACAAUAUAAUUAGAUCUUACAUGCUUCAGUCCAUCAUUAACUUGGUAUCUUUCCUCUUUAUCCUAGCUGAUGAUUUUUCCCUUGACUAGAUGCAAUUUGAAAAUUCUAUAUAGACAUAAUAUAGCCUCUCUUCUACGUAGAUGUUAGAUUCUUCAAUGAAAUUUUAAACAAAAAGGUAUCUUGCUUUAUUUCUAAAAUAACUAAACAAUUCAUAGAAUGAACAAAGGAAUCCCUCCAGGCGUAACCCACUGGACUUCAUAAACAGUAAGUCUCAAAC